UGCCACAUAGUGUAGCGGUUAGCACCUUCGGUUUUGAUCAUCUCGAUUCAUAUCCGAAUAACUCGGGUUCGAAUCCCGAUGAGGCAU